rnacentral:rRNA from 1 species
UACGAAGGGGGCUAGCGUUGCUCGGAAUUACUGGGCGUAAAGGGCGCGUAGGCGGACAGUUUAGUCAGAGGUGAAAGCCCAGGGCUCAACCCUGGAAUUGCCUUUGAUACUGGCUGUCUUGAGCACGGGAGAGGUGUGUGGAACUCCGAGUGUAGAGGUGAAAUUCGUAGAUAUUCGGAAGAACACCAGUGGCGAAGGCGACACACUGGCCCGUUACUGACGCUGAGGCGCGAAGGCGUGGGGAGCGAACGGGAUUGA